rnacentral:tRNA from 1 species
GCUUGGGUGGCUCAGCCGGUUGAGCAUCUGACUUUGGCUCGGGUCGUGAUCUCACAGCCUGUGAGUUCAAGCCCCACAUCAGGCU